GCGAGGGUAGCCAAGCGGUUAACGGCGACAGACUCAAGAUCUGUUCCUUAGUGGUUCGUCGGUUCGAAUCCGGCCCCUCGCA
rnacentral:tRNA from 2 species